rnacentral:rRNA from 1 species
CCUACGGGCGGCAGCAGUGAGGAAUAUUGGUCAAUGGACGAGCGUCUGAACCAGCCAAGUAGCGUGAAGGAUGACUGCCCUAUGGGUUGUAAACUUCUUUUAUAUGGGAAUAAAAUGUUCCACGUGUGGGAUUUUGUAUGUACCAUAUGAAUAAGGAUCGGCUAACUACGUGCCAGCAGCCGCGGUAAUUCGGGGGAUCCGCGCGUUAUCCGGAUUUAUUUGGGUUAAAGGGAGCGUAGGUGGAUUGUUCAGUCAAUUGUGAAAGUUUGGGGCUCAACCGUAAAAUUGCAGUUGAAACUGGCAGUCUUGAGUACAGUAGAGGUAGGCGGAAGUCGUGGUGUAGCGGUGAAAUGCUUAGAUAUCACGAAGAACUCCGAGUGCGAAGGCAGCUCACUGGACUGCAACUGACACUGAGGCUCGAAAGUGUGGGUAUCAAACAGGAUUAGAUACCCGAGUAGUC